rnacentral:rRNA from 1 species
UGGCGGCAGGCUUACACAUGCAAGUCGAGCGGAAACGAUGGUAGCUUGCUACCAGGCGUCGAGCGGCGGACGGGUGAGUAAUACUUAGGAAUCUACCUAGUAGUGGGGGAUAGCUCGGGGAAACUCGAAUUAAUACCGCAUACGACCUACGGGAGAAAGGGGGCAGUUUACUGCUCUCGCUAUUAGAUGAGCCUAAGUCGGAUUAGCUAGAUGGUGGGGUAAAGGCCUACCAUGGCGACGAUCUGUAGCUGGUCUGAGAGGAUGAUCAGCCACACCGGGACUGAGACACGGCCCGGACUCCUACGGGAGGCAGCAGUGGGGAAUAUUGGACAAUGGGGGAAACCCUGAUCCAGCCAUGCCGCGUGUGUGAAGAAGGCCUUUUGGUUGUAAAGCACUUUAAGCAGUGAAGAAGACUCCGUGGUUAAUACCCACGGACGAUGACAUUAGCUGCAGAAUAAGCACCGGCUAACUCUGUGCCAGCAGCCGCGGUAAUACAGAGGGUGCAAGCGUUAAUCGGAAUUACUGGGCGUAAAGGGAGCGUAGGUGGCUCGAUAAGUCAGAUGUGAAAUCCCCGGGCUCAACCUGGGAACUGCAUCUGAUACUGUUGAGCUAGAGUAUGUGAGAGGAAGGUAGAAUUCCAGGUGUAGCGGUGAAAUGCGUAGAGAUCUGGAGGAAUACCGAUGGCGAAGGCAGCCUUCUGGCAUAAUACUGACACUGAGGCUCGAAAGCGUGGGUAGCAAACAGGAUUAGAUACCCUGGUAGUCCACGCCGUAAACGAUGUCUACUAGUCGUUGGGUCCCUUGAGGACUUAGUGACGCAGCUAACGCAAUAAGUAGACCGCCUGGGGAGUACGGCCGCAAGGUUAAAACUCAAAUGAAUUGACGGGGGCCCGCACAAGCGGUGGAGCAUGUGGUUUAAUUCGAUGCAACGCGAAGAACCUUACCUGGUCUUGACAUAUCUAGAAUCCUGCAGAGAUGCGGGAGUGCCUUCGGGAAUUAGAAUACAGGUGCUGCAUGGCUGUCGUCAGCUCGUGUCGUGAGAUGUUGGGUUAAGUCCCGCAACGAGCGCAACCCUUGUCCUUAGUUACCAGCGGGUUAAGCCGGGAACUCUAAGGAUACUGCCAGUGACAAACUGGAGGAAGGCGGGGACGACGUCAAGUCAUCAUGGCCCUUACGACCAGGGCUACACACGUGCUACAAUGGUAGGUACAGAGGGCAGCUACACAGCGAUGUGAUGCGAAUCUCAAAAAGCCUAUCGUAGUCCAGAUUGGAGUCUGCAACUCGACUCCAUGAAGUAGAAUCGCUAGUAAUCGCGAUCAGAUGCC